UAAUUUAUAGGUGAUGGAGUUCACCUUAAUCGCAAUUUAGCUAAUGACUCCUACAGGUCC
rnacentral:ncRNA from 2 species